AGCCUUGUAACUAAGACAAUGCCCCACAGACGCGGAGUUUUGACAGCUUGGUGCUCUAGACGACUUAGUCCUGGCUUAUCACAUAGAUUUCAGACUGAUGUGACCUGUUGUUUGGAAUACAGACCCUCUUAAAAUGCAGGGGUGGAGAAUGAGGGUGCCAGGGGCUGGGGGAUCUCCUGACCAUUGGAAAUUCCUCAGUCAAAAGAUGAGGAGGGUGCAGGUGAGGAGGGGAGAAGGCAUGCACUCUCCCAGUUCUGUCGGUCCCGUGGGUCUGCAGGGGCUACGUGGUCCAGGGGCACCCUGGCCAUUAUUCGCAUGCUCUGGCAUGGGGAGGCAGGACUCCGGUUGUGUGAGCAGGAGAGACAAUGGGCAGUGAAGAAAAGGAAGGAAGAAGGAGGACUAUCUGGAAGAGAAGGUCUCCAAGACUUCAGCUGCCGUGAGAAGCAACCCAGCCAGAUCUCUAGAAGAAGAAAAAACAGGAAUCUUGAACAUCCCAAAAGGAGGAAUCUGAGUUAGUAAAUGGAACAUCCACACAUGCCCAUUAGGGAGAAAAAGAGAGUGAGAGAUGUUGUAAGUGAACUAAACCCUCAUACUCCACAGCAGGAAAUGAACAGAUGAUUCAUCAAGUUAAUACAAGACAGAGAUAAACUGGAAGCUUUUGGAAAUACGGAGAGUACGGGGUCUCACUAUGUUGCCCAGCCUGGCCUUGAUCUCCUGGACUCAAGUGAUCCUCUCAGAGUAGCUGGGACUACAGGCAUAUACCACCAUACCUAGCUUGCCUAUUGCUAUUCUUGUUUAUCCCUAAUAAGACUACAUGUGUUAAUCCAUAUGUCAAGCUUAUCCAGUGUGAUGAAACUGGCGAAUUCACACUGAAGAGAAAUUUGAAGGUAAUAAACAUCCUUGAUAGAUAAAAAAUAUAAAGGUGUUAAAGUAUAAAUAUGUGUUAAGUGGGUAUAUGCAUAUGAAUUUCUGGUUUUUUUUUUUUUUGAGAUGGAGUCUCCCUCUGUCGCCCAGGCUGGAGUGCAGUGGCGUGAUCUCAGUUCCCUGCAAGCUCCACCUCCUGGGUUCAUGCCAUUCUCCUGCCUCAGCCUCCCAAGUAGCUGGGACUACAGGCGCCCACCAGCACGCCAGGCUGAUUUUUUGUAUUUUUAGUAGACACAGGGUUUCACAGUGUUAGCCAGGAUGGUCUCCAUCUCCUGACCUCAUGAUACGCCCACCUCAGCCUCCUAAAGUGCUGGGAUUAUAGGUGUGAGCCACCACGCCCGGCCUGAAUUUCUUAAUAAAUGCAGUUUUCAAGAAGGCAAAGUAUUUCAGAUAGUCUUGUAGGAAAGGAGAAAGAAAUACAAAAAAGGGUCUUAAAGUGUGCAAAGGUAAGAAACUGGAGCUGGGACUUUUCUGACCAACUAGGACAACCUGGGGCUUAGCUGAACUCUUCCCAGGCUCUGGGAAAGCAUCAUUGUUAUGGAUUUUCAGCUGUGAGGAGCUUGGUAUGAAAAUUCUGCUCCUCGAAUAAGCCUACAGCAUGAGUUAAAGAAGAAAAUGCAGUUCUAUCAAUACUAAACAUUUUAACAAGAUCUUAAGACAAAAAAUUUAAAUAACCCUCUUCUGCCUUUUCCCAUCAAAUUUCAAGCAUUUUCCAGGUGUUAAUACGAUAGCAAAUUAGAACUCCUAGGGUUUGAGUGGGCAUUUUGACUUAAUUCUGGUGGAUAGAUUCUACAUGUUCCUUGAUUUUGCUUAAUUGAUGUUUGGAUAACCUGCAAAGAAUCCAUAGACUGUUUAUGGAAACAUUGAUUCUUGAUUUGAAAUCUGUUUGCUCAGCAGAUGGGACCAAAUUUAUCCAUCAGAGAAUCUAGCUCUCACACAAGAACUAGUAGUAUUCUUUCCUUACAGAGUUUGGCAGAGGAUUUGGUGAAGAACAUGGCAGAAACAAUGGGACUCUCCUUGGAUAUCAGUUCUUUGUGCUCUGCAAAUUCUCCAAUACAUGGGUAACCAAGUGGUUGUUGUUGUUGUUUUUCUAGAAGUCUGAGAUUCACUGUCUGUGCCUCACUGUCUUCUUGAAACCAAAUGAGUUUAAGGACAGAAUAUACACUUGGGUGAGAUAGGAAGCAGCUCAAAAAAGUGCUCAUGUCACAUUCAAUCUCAUUAUUUUUCCUCCAAUAAUAUGAAAAAGACCUAUUUACAUCUUUGAUGACUUCAUAGAAGGCCAAUCCACCUUGGAGGUUAAAAGGUUUAAAAUUAGAACUAACAUUUCUUGAGCAUGGGUUUUCCAGGGAUAUUUUUACAUUUAUAAAAAUUAACGUAGAAGAGAACGCAUAAGCCAUAUUCACUAAAAAUUAUGCUACGGGUAUGGGGGGAAGGGAGAAGUAUGCUCAGUUUAUAUUCCUAUGUUAAUAAAAUAAUUCCUUCAAUUCAGCAAAGCAAGAUGCACUCCAGCUUUCAAAGCAUCAGUGUUUGACUUUUCCUUCAAAUGGAGAUUUGUAGGAGAAAAUAUUACAGACAAUUCAAUGGCUACUGUGCCUGGUUUAAACACAGCACUAUGCUCAAAUUUCUUUUAGGCUAUAGAAACAUGGGCCAGUGCUUAUUUUCAUGGUUGAUUUAAUCCAUCCCCUGUGCCAGUGUGGGGAUUAUUCCCUACAGUUAUUCUCCAGUGAUCUGUCAGUUCAGAUUAAAAAAAGUUAAGUGACAAAGAUGCAGUGGCUGAUUCCUUUAGAAGGCUGUGGAAGCUGGAGUAUACAGCAAGAGACUUCUUUUUAAGGAUCUGACUAUGUUCUCUCUUUAACUUCCCUCAUAUCGCCACGAAUCUUUCUUAUCUAGGCUGAACUUUAAACUUCCUAAACGGGCAAUUCAAUUUUGUUCAUAUACAACAAUUUCAGGGUUGCCAAAAAGGGUUUCCAGAUCUUACUUCAUUGGCUCUUGCUUAGUUUUUAAGAAGAGGAGAUAGCAUAUAUUUCCUCACUUUACAGAUGAAAUCUAAGACAUGAUUCUAGGACCACAUGGAUCCUAGCUUUGCUUGGGAUACACAAUAAAUGAUAAUACUGUCUCUUAAGCUACAUAUCUUUUUAUAUUUUGAGAUAUAGGAUUCAAAAUAUACCUUUGCCAGAUUUGUAAUUCUGUUCCAGAUUCUUUGAGAAGAAACCUGCAAUAAAAUGAUUUUAAUUGUAUAGCAAAAUGUUACUCGUGUUAAAUGGUAAAAGUUACUCAUAUCAUAAAUAUUAUUAUUAUUCU